rnacentral:rRNA from 1 species
AUUGAACGCUGGCGGCAUGCUUUACACAUGCAAGUCGAACGGUAACAGGCCGCCAGGUGCUGCCGAGUGGCGAACGGGUGAGUAAUGCAUCGGAACGUGCCCAGUCGUGGGGGAUAACUACUCGAAAGAGUAGCUAAUACCGCAUACGAUCUAUGGAUGAAAGCGGGGGACCGUAAGGCCUCGCGCGAUUGGAGCGGCCGAUGUCAGAUUAGGUAGUUGGUGGGGUAAAGGCUCACCAAGCCAACGAUCUGUAGCUGGUCUGAGAGGACGACCAGCCACACUGGGACUGAGACACGGCCCAGACUCCUACGGGAGGCAGCAGUGGGGAAUUUUGGACAAUGGGCGCAAGCCUGAUCCAGCAAUGCCGCGUGCAGGAAGAAGGCCUUCGGGUUGUAAACUGCUUUUGUGCGGAACGAAACGGCUCUGGUUAAUACCCGGGGCUAAUGACGGUACCGUAAGAAUAAGCACCGGCUAACUACGUG